rnacentral:misc_RNA from 1 species
GUCGCCUCUUCAGCUGUGCUCUCUACUACGACUUUCGAAUCGGUAGUUCGGCAUUUGUUGUUCGAUGGAUCGGCUUUCUGAACCCAUUCAGAAGAUUUAGAUAAUGUUUGGGGCAAAGUCUCAUGUGAGGACAUUGUGAAGUUGUUGCUGGGAUACUUUAUAAAAGAUGAAUCAAGCACAGGCAGAGUGAAGCCAUAAUUAUAAGGAUAUGUUGCAGAUGGGUGGUCAAAUUUACAACUUGGGCCAUACUUGCAGAUCCCAUACAUAUUGUAGUAUGAACAUAUAGCUUGUCCGGGUCUUGAAGGA